UACGGGGGGGGCAAGCGUUGGUCGGAAUUACUGGGCGUAAAGGGCUCGUAGGCGGCCAACUAAGUCAGACGUGAAAUCCCCAGGCUCAACCUGGGAACUGCGUCUGAUACUGGAUGGCUUGAAUCCGGGAGAGGGAUGCAGAAUUCCAGGUGUAGCGGUGAAAUGCGUAGAUAUCUGGAGGAAUACCGGUGGCGAAGGCGGCAUCCUGGACCGGCAUUGACGCUGAGGAGCGAAAGCCAGGGGAGCAAACGGG
rnacentral:rRNA from 1 species